rnacentral:lncRNA from 1 species
CUUUCAAAAGUCACACAGAUGCAUAUAGGUUUUUAGUGAUCUUUCAUUUCAUUUGAUUCUUUCCUUGUUGCAUGAAUUGUUCACGUAGUAUUUUUGGACGACCUCUGUAGUAUUUAGGAACAAUAGAUGUCUUUCCGGAAUACGUCUAUUCUUCAUAUUGUCCCCUUUUAUAUUCAAAAUACAGUUUCUAAUUGGAAAUACAUGAGCAAAAGCCUGACAUCCUGACCCAAUCUAAUACGUCGUCUAUUGUCGAGCAGUGAACCAGGGUCCCAGGCUACAUGCACAAAAUAUUAACCGACCUAUUGAAUUUUAAAGUUGCUAUUAUAGAUAUAUGUUUUAGUUUUAGCUGAGAUUGCUUACCGCACUAAUUUCAAUUAUAAUCGCAUAUGUUACGAAAUCUGUUCUGGUGCUGCAUACGCUAUGAUCGAUAAUUAUUAGGAAUGCAAUAUUAGCAAACUCUCGC